CUAGCUAUGAGCUAACCUGAAGCUAACCCUGGCUAACCCAAAGCUAAAGCGGAGGUGGGAGCCGAGCUAACGGAUGUAGCCACCUAGCUUCAACCCAACCGGAGCUAACUGGAACACCCAUCGACCUGAACCUCACACGGAGUUUAGGUGGAGGUUUUCUGCGCCUGUUCGUGAGAAGUACCUGUAUUAAAAAAGAUUUAAAUCGAUCUGUUUAAAUGUCACCAUGGCAGCCUGUGUGUCUCCAACAUCAGCUACACAAAGCAGCAAGUCCAUUUGGAUCAUUGGAGACAGCUAUGUGAGGCGUGGUGCCCAGAGAGCUGCAGAGACAACCUUGGCCUCCCUGACGUCUGUGUCUCCUGGUUCGGUUGGGGCGGACCAUCGACAUACAUACAUGUGCCGACACUUUGCGCCCUGUUUUAUAAACUGUAGUGUUAAAAAUAAAUGUUUUUGCUCAA